rnacentral:tRNA from 1 species
GCCGGUGUAGCUCAGGGGUAGAGCGUUUCCUUGGUAAGGAAGAGGUCACGAGUUCAAAUCUCGUCAUCGGCUCUA